CAUAUUUAAAAGAACAAACAAUCAAUGAAAAAAAACAAAUAGAUAUAUUAAAAAAUAUUGAUAUAUAUCCAAUGUAUUCUUAUGAUUAUUAUUUUUCGAAAAAUUCGAUUGUUGAAUAUGGCUAUAGCAGUGAACACGAUAAAAAAAAAAAAAAAAAAAAAUUAUAAUAGCUUUUCAGUUAUGUUUAAGGUGUGUAAAAAACAGUUUAAUUAUUAUGGUUUUAUAUUCAACUUCUAGCAUGGAAAAAGAGGAUUAUGAAGAUGACGAGUGUUAUAAUAGUGGCAAUGGUGGUAGUAGUAGUAGCGGUAGUAGUAGUAGUAGUAGUGGUGGCAUCCGUAGUAACAUAAGAAAUAAAAAAAAAGCUGGUAAAAAAGAAAAAGCAAACAAAAAAAAAGGUACAAACCGUAAGCGUAACGACGGUGUAAACAAAAAUUAUUCGCAUUCCUCUAAAACAGAUGCUAACGUAUUUUCCAAUUCAUGCGAAAUAGAUCUAUAUAAUAAACAAUUUGAUUUGAAUAGUGGUGAUAAAAAUAUAUUCAAACGUAAUACAUUUUUUAUAAAUAAUUUAUAUGAUAGUUUGAAGUGUCAAUUAUUGUGUGUUUUAUUAUUUAAAGAUUUGUUUGAAAAUGAUUAUAUACGUCAUAUUUAUUUUACCAAACUAAAGAAACAAAAAUGUCAUAAUAAGUAUGGAUAUGAUUUUAAUUUAUAUUGUUUAAGUGAUGAAGGAAUUUUAUAUAUUUUUAUAUGUACUAUGUCAUUAAAUAAUAUAUUUAUUGAAAAUAAAUUUGAUAUAGAAAUAAAAAAGUAUUAUUUUUUACAGUUUACAAAACCAUACAACUAUUAUCAAAUAAAAGUUAUUAAUUGUACAGAAAAAUAUUUACAUUUUGUAUUAGAUCAAAGUUUUAUGAACAUGUUAAUAUAUAAUAAUAAAAAAGAGCAUGAGACAAAUGGUGAUAUCGAUAAAAAUUAUUUAUUUAAUGAAAAGAACUCAUGUUGUAAUGGAUGGUCUUCUAUGUAUAAUACACAAAAUGAAUAUGUAAACAAAAAACAAGAGGAAAGAAAUACGUUUUGUGAUAGUAACAUAUUAAGGAAUAACACAAAGUGCUAUAAUGGUUAUAGUUAUAUACAAUAUAAUAAUUAUAUAUACACAUUUCUCAUUAUUAUUAAUAAAUAUGACUUUAUAAUUAUUAGUUUAAGAAAAAAAAAAAAAGGUCCUGAUGAUGCGAAGGAAGUAAUACAUUUUUCUUCAACAAGUAAUAUAAAUUAUGAUGAGAAUGCUAUUUCUAAUGUUGUAAUAAAUAAAUGUGGAUUUGAAAUGUUUGACAGAGGUAAAGAUAGAAAUAGUAAUAGAUAUAGUAGUGGGGAUGCAUCCAAAGACGUUAACGAAAGUGCAUGUAAAAGGGAUGGUACGUAUCUACUUGAAAACACAUUUUGUUUAUUUGA
rnacentral:lncRNA from 1 species